rnacentral:rRNA from 1 species
UCCUUCGGGAGCCGAGUAGAGUGGCGAACGGGUGAGUAACGCGUGGGUGACCUGCCCUUUGGUGGGGGAUAACCCGGGGAAACCCGGGCUAAUACCGCAUAAGUCCUGAGACGUCGAGUUUCAGGAGAAAGUCUUCGGACGCCGAAGGAGGGGCCCGCGUCCGAUUAGCUAGUUGGUGAGGUAAGGGCUCACCAAGGCGACGAUCGGUAGCCGGUCUGAGAGGACGGACGGCCACACUGGGACUGAGACACGGCCCAGACUCCUACGGGAGGCAGCAGUGGGGAAUUUUGGGCAAUGGGCGCAAGCCUGACCCAGCAACGCCGCGUGGAGGAAGAAGGUCUUCGGGUCGUAAACUCCUGUCCUGGGGGACGAAGAAAGUGACGGUACCCCAGGAGGAAGCCCCGGCUAACUCCGUGCCAGCAGCCGCGGUAAUACGGGGGGGGCAAGCGUUGUUCGGAUUUACUGGGCGUAAAGGGUGUGUAGGCGGCUUCGGAAGUCCUGGGUGAAAG